GUUCUUCGUGAACUUUGUGGUUGGGCAGGAUCCGGGCUCAGACAUCGCCUUCCACUUCAAUCCGCGGUUUGACGGCUGGGACAAGGUGGUCUUCAACACGUUGCAGGGCGGGAAGUGGGGCAGCGAGGAGAGGAAGAGGAGCAUGCCCUUCAAAAAGGGUGCCGCCUUCGAGCUGGUCUUCAUAGUCCUGGCUGAGCACUACAAGGUGGUGGUAAAUGGAAAUCCCUUCUAUGAGUACGGGCACCGGCUUCCCCUACAGAUGGUCACCCACCUGCAAGUGGAUGGGGAUCUGCAACUUCAAUCAAUCAACUUCAUCGGAGGCCAGCCCCCCCGGCCCCAGGGACCCCCGAUGAUGCCACCUUACCCUGGUCCCGGACAUUGCCAUCAACAGCUGAACAGCCUGCCCGUGAGUGGGAGGGCUGGGAGGGCCCUGGGUGGGGAGUGGGAAUGGUGAGAAUUGGGGUAGGGGGAGCUAAGAGGGGUUGCAGCCC
rnacentral:sRNA from 1 species